GACGAACGCUGGCGGCGUGCUUAACACAUGCAAGUCGAACGGAAAGGCCCUGCUUUUGUGGGGUGCUCGAGUGGCGAACGGGUGAGUAACACGUGAGUAACCUGCCCUUGACUUUGGGAUAACUUCAGGAAACUGGGGCUAAUACCGGAUAGGAGCUCCUGCUGCAUGGUGGGGGUUGGAAAGUUUCGGCGGUUGGGGAUGGACUCGCGGCUUAUCAGCUUGUUGGUGGGGUAGUGGCUUACCAAGGCUUUGACGGGUAGCCGGCCUGAGAGGGUGACCGGCCACAUUGGGACUGAGAUACGGCCCAGACUCCUACGGGAGGCAGCAGUGGGGAAUAUUGCACAAUGGGCGGGAGCCUGAUGCAGCAACGCCGCGUGCGGGAUGACGGCCUUCGGGUUGUAAACCGCUUUCGCCUGUGACGAAGCGUGAGUGACGGUAAUGGGUAAAGAAGCACCGACUAACUACGUG
rnacentral:rRNA from 1 species